rnacentral:rRNA from 1 species
AGCAGCCGCCGCGGGAAUACAGAGGGUGCGAGCGUUAAUCGGAUUUACUGGGCGUAAAGCGUGCGUAGGCGGCUUCUUAAGUCGGAUAUGAAAUCCCUGAGCUUAACUUAGGAAUUGCAUUCGAUACUGGGAAGCUAGAGUAUGGGAGAGGAUGGUAGAAUUCCAGGUGUAGCGGUGAAAUGCGUAGAGAUCUGGAGGAAUACCGAUGGCGAAGGCAGCCAUCUGGCCUAAUACUGACGCUGAGGUACGAAAGCAUGGGGAGCAAACAGGAUUAGAUACCCCGGUAUCCCUGUCUCUUAUACA